rnacentral:ncRNA from 1 species
UCCCGCCUCGCGAAAAGUCGCUGUUUGUGGCGGCCUGUCCUGGCUCUCGCCGGAUGGACUAGCGAGGCGGGUUGGU